CUCAGGAUGAACGCUGGCGGCGUGCCUAAUACAUGCAAGUCGAACGAGUUCUGAUUAUUGAAAGGUGCUUGCAUCUUGAUUUAAUUUUGAACGAGUGGCGGACGGGUGAGUAACACGUGGGUAACCUGCCCUUAAGUGGGGGAUAACAUUUGGAAACAGAUGCUAAUACCGCAUAAAUCCAAGAACCGCAUGGUUCUUGGCUGAAAGAUGGCGUAAGCUAUCGCUUUUGGAUGGACCCGCGGCGUAUUAGCUAGUUGGUGAGGUAACGGCUCACCAAGGCAAUGAUACGUAGCCGAACUGAGAGGUUGAUCGGCCACAUUGGGACUGAGACACGGCCCAAACUCCUACGGGAGGCAGCAGUAGGGAAUCUUCCACAAUGGACGCAAGUCUGAUGGAGCAACGCCGCGUGAGUGAAGAAGGCUUUCGGGUCGUAAAACUCUGUUGUUGGAGAAGAAUGGUCGGCAGAGUAACUGUUGUCGGCGUGACGGUAUCCAACCAGAAAGCCACGGCUAACUACGUGCCAGCAGCCGCGGUAAUACGUAGGUGGCAAGCGUUAUCCGGAUUUAUUGGGCGUAAAGCGAGCGCAGGCGGUUUUUUAAGUCUGAUGUGAAAGCCCUCGGCUUAACCGAGGAAGUGCAUCGGAAACUGGGAAACUUGAGUGCAGAAGAGGACAGUGGAACUCCAUGUGUAGCGGUGAAAUGCGUAGAUAUAUGGAAGAACACCAGUGGCGAAGGCGGCUGUCUGGUCUGUAACUGACGCUGAGGCUCGAAAGCAUGGGUAGCGAACAGGAUUAGAUACCCUGGUAGUCCAUGCCGUAAACGAUGAAUGCUAGGUGUUGGAGGGUUUCCGCCCUUCAGUGCCGCAGCUAACGCAUUAAGCAUUCCGCCUGGGGAGUACGACCGCAAGGUUGAAACUCAAAGGAAUUGACGGGGGCCCGCACAAGCGGUGGAGCAUGUGGUUUAAUUCGAAGCAACGCGAAGAACCUUACCAGGUCUUGACAUCUUUUGAUCACCUGAGAGAUCAGGUUUCCCCUUCGGGGGCAAAAUGACAGGUGGUGCAUGGUUGUCGUCAGCUCGUGUCGUGAGAUGUUGGGUUAAGUCCCGCAACGAGCGCAACCCUUAUGACUAGUUGCCAGCAUUUAGUUGGGCACUCUAGUAAGACUGCCGGUGACAAACCGGAGGAAGGUGGGGAUGACGUCAAAUCAUCAUGCCCCUUAUGACCUGGGCUACACACGUGCUACAAUGGAUGGUACAACGAGUUGCGAGACCGCGAGGUCAAGCUAAUCUCUUAAAGCCAUUCUCAGUUCGGACUGUAGGCUGCAACUCGCCUACACGAAGUCGGAAUCGCUAGUAAUCGCGGAUCAGCACGCCGCGGUGAAUACGUUCCCGGGCCUUGUACACACCGCCCGUCACACCAUGAGAGUUUGUAACACCCGAAGCCGGUGGCGUAACCCUUUUAGGGAGCGAGCCGUCUAAGGUGGGACAAAUGAUUAGGGUGAAGUCGUAC
rnacentral:rRNA from 1 species